GGGGGCGACCUCCCGGCUCCACCCGCCUCCCAGCGGUCGCUCUUUUCCCGCCUCCAGGCUAAUUCUAUCGGCCAAUCAGAGCCCUCGGCGGCUCCGGAGCCUGAGGGGCCGCGCCAUUGGCUGCAGCCUGAGGAAGGGGUGGAAUUCUGUUUGGCUGUGGCGCCGCCCUGAGGACUUCAUCUGGAAGCCCGCCUGAGUCGGCGCGGGGACUGCUGGUGGGGUUUUGAGCGGCUGUCUGGAAGAUAGAAAUCUGAUCAUGUGCAGUCAUCUGCUUCAGGAGAGGUGGUCCUUAUCCCCUCAAUAGGGAUUGGUCUGACUCAUCAUGAAGACCUCAUUCUCCUUGCCAGUCACUGCUUUA